rnacentral:piRNA from 1 species
UGGCCUUUGUCAGGGUUUACACAUCAGC